CCAGAGGGGUGUAAUAUUCUCAUUAUUUCAGGCUAACUAAUAAUAAGUAGUUCUAUCCUAGUUGCCAGUUUUUUGAUUUGUGAGUUGAGACAUCUUGAACAAAAUGUUACUGAGAACGCUUCUGCAGUGUCUUGCUGACUGCAUACAAGGUGCUGCCGAGUUUGCCAUCUGCCUGCACGCUCACAGUGGUAAUUAUAUCAGAGUCUCACAAGUGCUGGAACAAGAGGGAUGUCAAAUGCACUUUCCUUCCUUUUGAAGUAGUGCCUAGAGGGCAACUGAUUCACAGCUGUUGCAAUAAGAAGAUAAUGAAAAUUUAUCAACAACAUCUCUACCAAAUUAUGGGAAUUUAUAGCAGAUAUUUGCAAUCUGGGUUAUUGUUGGUGAUUCUGCUCCCCUGGGAAGCAUACAUUGCAAAUACAGCUGCAUGAGCUGAUACUUCUGAACACCUGGCAGUCCCUGAAGUAUUUGCUGAGUAAUAUGCUGAUGAAUACCUGCUGUAUGGUGAUAGCAAACAGGUCCUUCCUGCAGUGCUAAAAGCUCCUUGAAUAGCACAAAGAAGGUCAAGGUGAAGGACUCUGGUUCCUGUUCUAAAUCAUGAUAAAGGCACUUCCACUUUUUUCCGCAGCUCUAUACUUCAUAACCUGUCAUGCAUUGCAGGGAAAUAAGAGGGGAAUGUAUAUAUAUUAUAUUUAGCUGCUGCUGAUCUUGUAACUUCAUAUGUAGUUAGUCAUCCAUUCUCACAGAUUAUGAAAAUAGUAAAAUGAAAUUCACAGCUACACUAUCACAGCUUGAAACUUUGUAAAUGAACAUUCAUAGCAGGGCCCUCAACAUCCUUUUUAUAGACAUGACUGCAGCUACAAUUUUAUAUACUUUUAAACAGCUAUUCCUUUCAAAGCCCCAACCUCUGUGUUUUCUGUGCAAUAUUCUCUAAGGCAUGAUCCUUCUAAUUCUAAACUUCCCCAAACUAAAAGAAGAGAAAGGCAGGCUAUGUACUCACAUAAGCAGAGAAGUAACUAAUUGAAGUUAUUAAAUUAUAAUAUCUGAGUUAUAGGACUUAAAAAAAUAUUUUUUACAUGUAAAAGUCUUAUUUUUGGCAUUGCCAACAGCAAAAUGGCAUUUAGUUCAAGGGAGCAGCUUUUGUAGCUAAAAGCUUUUAUCUCUGAAAAAAGCAGAUACAAAAAGAGAAUUUCCUGCACUGAAGAAACUUCAAGGCAGGGGGAAGCAGUUCUCUUCCCCUAAACCUUUAAUAAGUUUUGCUGACAGGAAGAUGACAAGUGUCCCAUACCACUGGACAGUAGACAGGCAUACAGUGACACAGGCUAUAAUAGACAGCUCAAUCUCCUUAGAGAUACAAAGACGGCUGAAGUGAAUGGCACCUCAUGUCAAUCUUAUG
rnacentral:lncRNA from 1 species